rnacentral:lncRNA from 1 species
AUGGAAGGGUGGGCUACGGUAAUUGGGCCGUUAUAUGGGAAGAUAGUGGUGCAAGGCCUGAGGCAUCUUGGGAACAAGCCGGCGAUAGAGCUAGUUACGAAAGAAUUUGGGGCCUGGAUUGAAGGAACGUUUCCAGAGGAUUUGCACUUAAUUCUGCUGGGCACCAAGUCGUUCCCUAUACUAACUGAAAUGGGAGUAAAGCACUUGGAUCUGAUUCCUAAGAUGCCAGCACAAGACGGUAUGAUGGACUCAUAAACUAGCUACUGAUCACAGUAGCCACGUUGACUACAUUGGACCUCUUCCCUCUUGGAUAAGGCAGCAAUUUUCCUUGUUAUAAUCAACAUUUAUCUAGAUAUGGGCUGUUUUUUUUUUUUUUUUGUUUUUUUUUUUUUUUUUUUUUUUUUUUAAUCUGGAGUACCUCCAUUGCAACCACCAUCGAAGUGCUUAUAGAAUGUCUGAAUUAUAGGGGCGCCUGGGUGGUGCAGUCGGUUAAGCGUCCGACUUCAGCCAGGUCACGAUCUCGCGGUCCGUGAGUUCGAGCCCCGCGUCCGGCUCUGGGCUGAUGGCUCAGAGCCUGGAGCCUGUUUCCGAUUCUGUGUCUCCCUCUCUCUCUGCCCUUCCCCCGUUCAUGCUCUGGCUCUCUCUGUCCCAAAAAUAAAUAAACGUUAAAAAAAAAAAAAAGAAUGUCU